UGGGUCUUCCAGGAGCGCGCUUGAGCGGACGCUGCCUACCGGUGGCCGGGCGGGAUGUAACCCGCUGCUGAGCUGGCAGCUCUGUGUCGCUAGGCUUCGGCCCGGCCGCCGCCGCACAUAAGCUGCGAGGAGGAGCUUUACGACUUCCCGGUCUUCGGGGCCGGGCGCAGCAAGGGCCAGACUCUGCGCUAGCAGGCGCUGCGCGCCAACCGGCCGGCACCUGUCGCAGAAGGUGCAACCGAUCGCACUGUCGCGCCGAAGCUCCUCAAUGGCCAGCGCCAGCUGCAGCCCCGGCCGCCCACUCGCCUCACCUGAGCCUGGGAGCUUGAAAAAUCACAUUUGAGAAGAGGAUUGGAUCCUAGCCAUAACAUAAAUAUAAGGGUGGAACCAAAGUUUUAAUCAAAGAAGGUGGUGUUCAGUUGCUGCUUACAAUAGUUGAUACCCCAGGAUUUGGAGAUGCAGUGGAUAACAGUAAUUGCUGGCAGCCUGUUAUCAAUUACAUUGAUAUUAAAUUUGAGGACUACCUAAAUGCAGAAUCGCGAGUGAACAGAUGUCAGAUGCCUGGUAACAGGGUGCAGUGUUGUUUAUACUUCAUUGCUCCUUCAGGACAUGGACCAUUACAUAACUGAAGACUCCCACCUUCAGGCAGGAUUGGGUAGUACGUGUUUGUAACUACCUGGCAUUGCCUUUUGUUGAGAGAAUUAUCUUCUGGUAACUUCAUUGAAAAGGCCUCUUUAGGCAUGAAAUCACCUGCCAGCUGUGCUGAGGACAGGCUUCACAGAGCUCCUGGAGGCUAAUUAAGGUGCAGAGUUCAGAGCAGAAAGAUGCUUCACUAUACCUGUGGCAGGAUGGCCACCAGGGCCUGUUCCCUGGCCAGAGUAAGCACUCUUUCCCUAGGGAUUUGGAACAGCCCCAUUCUCACCUGGUGUUUACCCCAGGUUUUGAAGAGAUUCCAAACUAGAGCAGCAAGCAAAGUCUAGAGCUGACUGGGGAACCAGCCCUACCCUGGAUAUUGGCCUCUGAUGAAAGCACCACUAAACCUCACCUUCUCUCCUAAAUCUCUUCAGAAAUGCUUACUCUCUGUGAUAGACAUGGAACAGAUUGUUUUGCCUCAGGGAUUUAUUGAUUGAUUUUGCCAAAGUCUUUCCCAAGGCUCCUUUCAAAACUGGACUGAUCCCUUGGUUCUGGGAAUGAGUGGUGAACAUCAGACCUCUGGAAUGGUGGCUGGUCAAUGUCUUUGCCCUCUCAAGUUGCUCUUGAAUGUUGAUUCAACUCAUUAGGACAUACUUGGAUGAUGAAUUAGAAGGAGCAUCUUUGCCCUCUACUUACAGAUCCUAGGAACAAUUUGUGGAAUUAUCAGUAAGCAAUAUCUGUAACAGAUAAAAUGUCUGCUUUCCCUUUGCCCCUCUUAGCCUAUGACAUGCCACAUCCAAUUUGUCUUCGUUCCAACUGUGAGAGGUCUUAAUUUCAUCAUUCUGGCCUUUUGCAGUUAAAUGUUCUCCAAGGAUAUGAUCUAUGGGGAGAGGACUGAUAGUGGAACUAAUCUUUCAAAGUUCUGCUUAAGCAAUUGUAGAUAACAUAGGAGAAGAAACUCUGGAAACAAUUAUGAUUAUCCUAGUUCUGCCCCUGUGGAAAUUCAAUCCGAAACCCUUCAUGUUUUUGCUUCUCUCUUCUCUACAUGGAUGGAAUAUGUUAUACUUUUUUGAGCUGAAAAAUCUAAAUAAUUAGAAAAAGACAAAGUUGUAAUGAGUUUUCUGUUUAAACUUAUAGGACCCUUUCUAAUAAAAGUGUUAUUGUAAUCAUUGAAUCGUUAG
rnacentral:lncRNA from 1 species